rnacentral:rRNA from 1 species
UACGUAGGGAGCAAGCGUUGUUCGGAAUCAUUGGGCGUAAAGCGCGCGUAGGUGGCCCCAUAAGUCCGCUGUGAAAGUCAAAGGCUCAACCUUUGAAAGCCGGUGGAUACUGUGGGACUAGAGUACGGAAGAGGCGAGUGGAAUUCCUGGUGUAGCGGUGGAAUGCGCAGAUAUCAGGAGGAACACCAAUAGCGAAGGCAGCUCGCUGGGACGUUACUGACACUGAGGCGCGAAAGCGUGGGGAGCGAACAGG